rnacentral:piRNA from 1 species
UGCCUACCUGGGUAACAUUUCUUUACCGUG